UCGUGUAUUUUUAAAAAAAAUCUUCUUUGGUAGGGUUCUGUAAUACGUGAACGUGUCCUCUUAGUGCCUGUAGAUCAUUUAUAUGGAUCAUUUGAUAGAUUCCCUCUAAAGAGAUGUUGUUUCAAUGAAUGUGGGGAAAGAGCAGGGACGACUGAGUUGUAAUAGCUGGUAAUUGGUUAUUUGAAUUCAUUGUCAUAUUCAAAUUCCGAUUUGAAAAGGGCCCUUUUGCUUCAGGACAUACCCAAAAUGCUCAACCUUUCCCCUUAAAAUUACUUCUUGUGGCUCCACAAAUAUGUUUUCGAUCUUCUUAGACCAUAGUUGCCCUAACGAUGACAUAUUGUAAACAAGGCUUCUAGUAGAAGAAAGAAGCCCUUCGACAGGUGUUGGCGAUUUAGAUCGCUCAGGGGUUUUUUCGGUGCGGGACGGUCGGGAAUCUCCUGUGAGAGUGCGCUCUGCCAAAGAGGGGCUUAAGAAUCGUGGCCGUGUCAGCAAACCCUAACUUGCGAUGUUUUCUGGACUCUUCUUCCAUCAGUGUUGGCACUGGGAGUUACUUGCAGGCUACGUCACAUGGGGUUGGUGUUUCGGUGGUUGGGUUGCCUCCUGCUCAUCGGCCACGACACUCUUCAGAUUGUGGUGAUGGGAGCUCUGCUCUUGGCUCAAAUGUUGUCCCAUCGUCUCCACCCCUUGGACGGGAAAACCCUUCUAGGUUUGGCGAUCCUUGUCCCCUUGGUUCUGUUGUUCGCAAAUUAAAAUACUUGGAUAGGUUAUGUUGUGCAACGAGAUACUCUUUCGGAAUUCGAUCCGACGAUCUAGUGGCUAUCAAUUGAAAAGGCAGAGGCUAUUAUGUCAAAGCUUGCAACUUUUAACAAUGGUGAAAUAAAUGCAGAACCAUCAUUGUUGAUAACUGUAGAUCAAAGCCUUGGAUAAUUGCAACAUAGCCAGACAAAUUUCUGGUCUUAUUCUCCUCAUGCAGAAUUACAUCAUAUUUUUAGUGGUAAAUUAACCUGGAGGAUUAACAAGAGGGAAAUCUAUGGAGAUAAAAUGGAGGAGUUUUCACAAUGGUCUUGUUACUGUUCAGGGCAGUGCAAUUCUGAGGGCGACUUUAGAGAGCUAGACAAUAAAUUGCUGGAACAUGAGGUUGCAAACUGGGUUGACUAUAGAUGAACAACUUUAAAUUUGACUCUCUUGCAUCUAUUGUAUUCUUGAGUCUUAAAAGGUAUUUUCCUAAUUAGAGAGCAAUAUCACAAUCAAGUUAUUUUCA